CAAGGUCUUGGUCUUAAACCUCUUAUUAUCCUAACCCCCUAAUUAUACAUGCAAGCCUCACCACAACGGUGAAAUAGCCCACACCACCACUGUGGAGCAGGUAUCAGGCCCAUCGCCCACAACACCAAGCAAUCAAGCCACAUCCUCACGGAUUUACAGCAGUAGUUAAUAUUGGGCCAUAAGCGCAAGCUCGACCUAAUACCGGGGCCACAAGGGCCGGUUAAUCUCGUGCCAGCGACCGCGGUUAUACGACAGACCCAAGAUAAUAUCCCCGGCGUAAAGCACGACUAAAAUAAACGUACUCCUAUUAGGGAAAAGGCUAAACUAGGCUGUAAAAAGCUAUAAGACACACCAAACAUUGACCCUAAUACUUAAACAACUUCAACUCGUGAAAGCAAGGACACAAACUAAGAUUAGAUACCUUACUAUGCCUAACCAUAAAAAAACAAUCAAAUAACAAAUUGUUCGCCAAAUAACUACGAGUGAAAGCUUAAAAUUUAAAAGACUUGACGGUACUUCACAUCAAUCUAGAGGAGCCUGUCUAAUAACCGAUAAUCCACGAUUAACCCAACCUCCUCUAGCCUAACAGUCUAUAUACCGCCGUCGCCAGCUUACCUUGUAAAAGAAACAAAGCAAGCCCAAUAACAUCACCUCUAAUACGACAGGUCGAGGUGUAACCAAUGAGGAGGACAAGAUGGGCUACAUUUUCUACAACAGAAAAGCAAACGAAUAAACUAUGAAAUUAGAAACUGAAGGCGGAUUUAGAAGUAAGCUAAGAAUAGAACACUUAACCGAAACCAACGCAAUGAAGUGCGCACACACCGCCCGUCAUCCCUGUAAAACACACAAAACUAUACAUAAACACUAGUAUCUUUAUAAGCAGGGCAAGUCGUAACAUGGUAAGCGUACUGGAAAGUGCGCUUAGAAA
rnacentral:ncRNA from 1 species